rnacentral:rRNA from 1 species
GGGUCAGUAGGUUGGUCGUGCCAACGGUACGUACUGGUCUAACUGAUUCCUCCUUCCUGAAGAACCGUAAUGCCAUUAAUUUGGUGUUGCGGGGAAACAGGACUGUUACUUUGAAAAAAUUAGAGUGUUUAAAGCAAGCUAACGCUUGAAUACAUUAGCAUGGAAUAAUGAAAUAGGACGAUCGAUCCUAUUUUGUUGGUUUCUAGGAUUGACGUA